rnacentral:rRNA from 1 species
UACAGGGGUGGCAAGCGUUGUUCGGAAUUACUGGGCGUAAAGGGCGAGUAGGUGGCCAUCUAAGUCAGACGUGAAAUCCCCCGGCUUAACCUGGGAACUGCGUCUGAUACUGGACGGCUUGAGUAUGGGAGAGGAACGUAGAAUUCCAGGUGUAGCGGUGAAAUGCGUAGAUAUCUGGAGGAAUACCGGUGGCGAAGGCGGCGUUCUGGACCAUUACUGACGCUGAGGCGCGAAAGCUAGGGGAGCAAACGGG